AUGAAGCGGAAGUUCAUUAUGAUGCCAGUGCUCAUCGAAGGUCCGAAGCAACCCGGCAACGACAUCGAUGUGUACCUAAGGCCAUUAGUUGAUGAACUUUUACAGCUGUGGGGUGGUGUCCGUGUGUGGGAUGAGCACAAACAAGAGGAAUUUGACCUACGAGCGUUGCUUUUCGUAACCAUCAACGAUUGGCCUGCUCUUAGUAACCUUUCGGGACUGUCAAAUAAGGGAUACAAUGCAUGCACGCACUGCUUACAUGAGACUGAAAUUGUACAUUUGCCAAAUUGUAAGAAGAACGUGUACCUUGGGCAUCGUCGAUUUCUUCCGAAAAUUCAUCCAGUAAGAAAGAAAGGCAAGCAUUACAACGGCAAGGCAGAUCACCGGCCGAAGCCUGCGGAACGCACUGGUGCUGAGGUAUUUGAUAUGGUCAAGGAUUUGAAAGUCAUCUUUGGAAAGGGUCCUGGCGGACAAUCAGUUCCGAAGGGAGCUGACGGGCACGCAGCCAUGUGGAAGAAGAAAUCUAUAUUCUGGGAACUAGAAUAUUGGAAAGUCCUAGAUGUCCGCUCUGCAAUCGACGUGAUGCACGUUACGAAGAAUAUUUGCGUGAACCUCCUAAGCUUCUUGGGCGUGUAUGGGAAGACAAAUGAUACAAAGGAAGCACGGCAGGACCAGCAACGUUUGAAAGACCCUGAUGACCGGCAUCCGGAAUGGUUUCAAGGUCGUGCCAGCUACGCUCUGACCAAAGAAGAGAAGGUCAUCUUUUUUGAAUGCCUGAGCAGUAUGAAGGUCCCGUCUGGAUUCUCGUCCAAUAUAAAGGGAAUAAUAAACAUGGCGGAGAAAAAGUUCCAAAACCUGAAGUCUCACGACUGCCACGUGAUUAUGACGCAAUUGCUUCCGAUUGCUUUGAGGGGGCUCCUGCCGGAAAAUGUUCGAGUAGCCAUUGUGAAGCUAUGUGCAUUCCUCAAUGCAAUCUCUCAGAAGGUAAUCAAUCCAGAAGUUCUACCACGGUUACAGAACGAUGUGAUCCAAUGCCUUGUCAGUUUCGAGUUGGUGUUCCCGCCAUCCUUCUUCAAUAUUAUGACGCACAUCCUGGUUCACCUAGUCGAAGAGAUUUUCGUUCUCGGUCCUGUAUUUCUACACAAUAUGUUCCCCUUCGAGAGGUUCAUGGGAGUAUUAAAGAAAUAUGUUCGUAACCGUGCUAGGCCAGAAGGAAGCAUCGCCAAGGGCUAUGGAAAUGAGGAGGUAAUUGAGUUUUGUGUUGACUUUGUUCCUGACCUUAAGCCGAUUGGUCUUCCUCGAUCGCGGCACGAGGGGAGACUAAGUGGAAAAGGCACGAUCGGAAGGAAAUCAACGAUAUGUAUGGACGGCCAUUCUCUGACUGAAGCACACCACACUGUACUGACCAAUUCCAGCUUGGUGGCUCCGUACUUUGAGAAACACAAGAAUAUUUUACGCUCGGACAACCCGGGGAAGCCUGAAUCCUGGAUUAGGAAGGCCCACAUGGAGACUUUCGGCAGUUGGUUGAGAAAACAUUUAAUGAAUAACAAUGAUGUUGUAGAUCAGCUGUACAUGUUGGCCAAGACACCAUCUUCGACUAUAACGACUUUCCAAGGGUACGAGAUAAAUGGGAAUACAUUUUACACGAUCGCCUAA
rnacentral:rRNA from 1 species